rnacentral:misc_RNA from 1 species
AACCAUUCUCACCUGCGGCUAGACCUGCGGAGGGAUCAUUACAGUGUUGGUGAAAAGAGACAAAACGGCCGCUUUUGGACGCGACGAGCCUAGCUUUCCGCAGUCCACUGGCGGCCGUCUGUUUCUGACCACCCAAACAACCACCCCAUCCCUGCUUAAUACGCACCUCUUGUUUCCUCGGCGGGCCCGCCCGCCGCAGGACCCCUUUUGGAAACGCUUUUGCAAACCACGCAGUCGUUC